rnacentral:lncRNA from 1 species
AUGGCCAAUAUUAAGGCUUGGGACCUUUGGGUCAAGAAGGAGGAGCUGUUGAAACAACUGGAUGAUCUGAAGGUGACGCUGUCCCAGCUCUGCAUUACCAAGGAAACAGGUUGCACUGCAUCCAAGCUACCCAAUAAAAAUCUGCAAAUCCAUUGCUUGUGUCCUCACUGUCAUCAACCAGACUCAAAAAGAAAACCUCAGGAAAUUCUACAAGGGCAAGAAAGACAUGCCUCUGGACCUAAGACCCAAGAAGACUAGAGCCUAAUGCCACUGGCUCACCAAGCACGAAGAGAAGCUG